rnacentral:rRNA from 1 species
AGUGAACGCUGGCGGUAGGCCUAACACAUGCAAGUCGAACGGCAGCACAGUAAGAGCUUGCUCUUACGGGUGGCGAGUGGCGGACGGGUGAGGAAUACAUCGGAAUCUACUUUUUCGUGGGGGAUUACGUAGGGAAACUUACGCUAAUACCGCAUACGACCUACGGGUGAAAGCAGGGGAUCUUCGGACCUUGCGCGAUUGAAUGCGCCGAUGUCGGAUUAGCUAGUUGGCGGGCUAAAGGCCCACCAAGGCGACGAUCCGUAGCUGGUCUGACAGGAUGAUCAGACACACUGGAACUGAGACAGGGUCCAGACUCCUACGGGAGGAAACAGUGGGGAAUAUUAGACAAUGGGCGCAAGCCUGAUACAGCCAUACCGCGUGGGUGAAGAAGGCCUUCGGGUUGUAAAGCCCUUUUGUUGGGAAAGAAAAGCAGCAGGUUAAUAGCCCGAUGUUCUGACGGUACCCAAAGAAUAAGCACCGGCUAACUUCGUG